AUGCUUACCUGGCAGGGAUGAUUCCAUGAUAACAAAACCAGUUUCUCCAGGCCAAGACUUAUCCAUUGAACUCUGGAUGGGCUGACCUCUGAGAUUUCCCCAAAAUGCAAAACUCAAUAGCAUAAUGUAUGGGAGUGGUAUUUGUGUUCCCCCUAUA
ensembl:snRNA U1 U1 spliceosomal RNA